UAAAAAAAAAAAAAAAACUAUUUACCCCUCCAAAUAUUUUUAUAUUUUUGUUUUGGCCCCCCACACUUUUAUAUGAAUUUUGUUCAUACGUUUAUACAUUUUAAUUUUGAUCUUUAUGUUUUUAUAUUUUUAUUUUGAUCCCUAUAUUUUUAUGAAAAUUUUAUUUAUUUUCUUUUUAACAUUCAUCUUCAGCCCCCUCAAAGAUAAAGUUCUAGUUCUGCCUCUGCAUAUCCUGCAGCUAGGAUCAUUGUUGUAGAUUAUGCCACAUGACAUUGUGGAACAACUUCAUUGGAAGUUGGAAUUUUUUUUUUUUUUUUAUAAAUCCCCAAAUUAUAUGAAAGUAAGGUAUCUCAAAACUGUAAGAAGCUGUAGAAUUUGUACCAAGAAUAAGUUGUAUGAUCAGAUAAUGUUAGGGAUGCCAGUGAUAUCUGAAAAACCACAUGGCACGUCAGUGAUCUUCUCAGAAAUUUUAAGGUAGGAUGAUCCUUCAAGAAAGUGAAUUUAAGAGAGGGAGAUGCUAACGGUCAGGUAUCAUCUGCAGGUGAGUUUGGUCACACUGAAGGA
rnacentral:misc_RNA from 1 species